CCCAAUAUGUAUAAGACAACCAUAAUUUAUGCUUUAACCCUAAAAUAUCCCACUCACACUCUCAGCCUCCACUAUCACAAUUUACAUAUUCUCUCACCUCUCAAGUCUCACUAAUUCACGGGUCACUUCUCAAGAUCUCAAUCUCUAACCGGCUCGAUUCCCUCGUAUGCUCAUCAUAUUCUAGAAUUUGGUGAUAGUGGUAUGACACAAGUAGGCAAAAAUUGAUGCGGCAAAGGUGUGCUUCAAGUUUGGAAUCAAGAAAUCUAUCCUAAUAAAUUUUGGAAGCUUAUAUGUAGUUUUGUGGACAUUAUGUUUGCUUAUUGUAAUUUUAAUGAAAUUUGUAUAAACAAGUUUUUUUCAAUUAUUUUUAAGAUUUAGGGUUACAAGAAGUCAGGAACGAGUUAAAGACUUACAGUUCAAAUUCUAGGUUAAAAAAAAAAAAAGCAGUUUAAUACUAUAACUUUUAAACCGAAAAAACAAAAUUAAAAAAAGGAACUGGGUACCCGGAAUCGGAACCAGUUCCAAGAUCAGUUCUAAAAAUUCAGGACCCGGUUAAACCAGUUCCAAGACCAGUUUCGAAGAAAUCAACCGGGUACCCGGUCUUGCUCACCCCUACUCGUCAAUUGGGAUAACCGGAUGGAGGUUGGGUCGGGUCUAUUCGAAUUGGAUAUAUUCGAGUCAAAAUUAUUCUUUUAACUCGGAUCGAGUCGGGUCGGGUCAAAUUCGGGUUGGAUCAAGGUCGAGUCAUGGUCAAUCGAUUCCGGGUCGGAUAUGGGUCAGGUCAACUUCAUAUCGGUUCACUUUCGGUUCGCUUGGAUCGGGUUCAAAAUGGGUUUAACCGGGUUAUUUUGGGUCAGAUGGACUUGGGUCGGGUUGAUUUCAGUUCGGAUGAUUUUGAUUCGUUCAAGUUCGGUUUGAUUAAGAUAAGGUUGAUCUGUACCGUUCAUUCAUUAUUGAAAAAUGAUAGUUACAUAUGGUGGUGUAUAAUAUACUAAUAAGAAUGUCUUCUUUUUAAGGUUA